rnacentral:rRNA from 1 species
GACGAACGCUGGCGGCGCGCUUAACACAUGCAAGUCGAGCGAAGCGGCGGACGGGUGAGUAACACGUGAGUAACCUGCCUUAGACAUUGGGAUAGCCUCGGGAAACCGUGAUUAAUACCAAAUGGUCUAAGAUGGACUCGCGUCCCAUUAGCUAGUUGGUGGGUAACGGCCCACCAAGGCGACGAGGGGUAGCCGUCCUGAGAGGGUGAACGGCCACAUUGGAACGGAGAAACGGUCCAAACUCUACGGGAGGCAGCAGUGGGGAAUAUUGAACAAUGGAGGGAACUCUGAUGCAGAGAAGCCGCGUGAACGAAGAAGGCGUUCGAGUCGUAAAGUUCUGUUAUAUGGGAAGCGGUACCUGAUGAAUAAGCACCGGCUAACACCGUGCCAGCAGCCGCGGUAAUA